GGAAGUGAACGGACCUGGCGGGCGAUGCUUAACUAACAAUAGCAAGUACGAACGGGAAACGGUAGGGUGGUUUCCUAGUGGUGAACGGGUAGGAGUAACGACGUAAGAACCUAGCCCUUCGGUAGGGGAACGAACAACUAGGAACAAGUUGCUAAUACCCCGUAGGCUGAGGAGAAAAAGGAGAAAUCCACCCAAGGAGGGGCUCACGUCUGAUUAGCUAGUUGGUGAGGUAAUAGCUUACCAAGGCGAUGAUCAGUAGCUGGCCCGAGAGGAUGAUCAACCACACUGGGACUGAGACACGACCCAGACUCCUACGGGAGGCAGCAGUGGGGAAUUUUUCGCAAUGGGCGAAAGCCUGACGGAGCAAUGCCGCGUGGAGGUGGAAGGCCUACGGUUCGUCAACUUCUUCUCUCGGAGAAGAAACAAUGACGGUAUCUGAGGAAUAAGCAUCGGCUAACUCUGUG
rnacentral:rRNA from 1 species